AUUGAACGCUGGCGGCAUGCUUUACACAUGCAAGUCGAACGGCAGCGCGGGCUUCGGCCUGGCGGCGAGUGGCGAACGGGUGAGUAAUGCAUCGGAACGUGCCCAGUAGUGGGGGAUAGCCCAGCGAAAGCCGGAUUAAUACCGCAUACGACCUGAGGGUGAAAGCGGGGGACCGAAAGGCCUCGCGCUAUUGGAGCGGCCGAUGUCGGAUUAGCUAGUUGGUGGGGUAAAGGCUUACCAAGGCGACGAUCCGUAGCUGGUCUGAGAGGACGACCAGCCACACUAGGACUGAGACACGGCCCAGACUCCUACGGGAGGCAGCAGUGGGGAAUUUUGGACAAUGGGGGCAACCCUGAUCCAGCCAUGCCGCGUGCGGGAAGAAGGCCUUCGGGUUGUAAACCGCUUUUGUUCGGGAAGAAAUCCUCUGGGCUAAUACCCCGGGGGGAUGGCGGUACCGGAAGAAUAAGCACCGGCUAACUACGUG
rnacentral:rRNA from 1 species